ensembl:lncRNA
AUGCACCGCAGAAGGGAAACCCCAAACCGAGGCAAAUCGGAGGUGCCGGCUGGGAAGGUUAAAGCAAGGCAACGUUCACUGGGCGCAGGGGCACGGCUCGGGGAUCCUCCCGGCAGCACCGCCGGCAGAUGGAAGGAGAAAUCCCCCGGCACGCGGCGGCAGCGCCAUCGGGCUGCGCGGCCAGGUGCUAAAAACCCGCUUUUCCCACCCAAAACCCGCGUGCGGGCGCCGAUCCCCGUCCCUCACCCCAAAACUCGGCUCCCGCCCCGCACGGUGAGCGAAGUUCCCCCCGGAUCGGGGAAAAAAAAACCAAAAAAAACCACAAAGAAAAACCCGGCGGAGAAGCACGGCACGGGCCGUGGGGGCUGCGUCCCGCCCCGCUUUUGGGGUCACCAGGCACCGAGUCCCUUCAGUACCCAGGAAAUCACAGGCUGGGAAGUGUUAACUGGUCCCAGUGAUGUUCAAGCACAGCCGCUCUUACCACAGCCUGACCAUCUAGAAGAUCCGCUGGUAAAGGGCCAAAACCAUGGGCUGAAUGUCUGCGUCAGAGGGGCAGCAAGUGGCAGAAGAUUCCCUUGUUCAGCCUGCCCACGCAGCACACAUCCACUGCUGGUUUGCUGCAAAACCACCUCCUUGAUGUGAAACCACACCGUGCAACAAGACACUUGUUAGCUCAGUCCAGGCUCUUCCUUCCCCUCCAUGCCUUUUGCCCUGCUACUAGCUGGAGAGAGGAAAAAAAAAGAAGGAAAAAAAAAAAAAAGGACUAUUUUUUAACAAAUUAUAAAGGUAACCUCUAAGAAGGAAAGCUUUAAGCUUCCAAAUCUGCUUCCUCGUCUGGAAAAUGGGGUUCAUUUUCCUCACAGGUGUUUUGCACCUCAGCAAGGUUUUCCCCAGCAGGUGCUAUGGAAGGUAAACCAUGAUUUCUCAGGUCUAGCCUGCAACGGGAGCUGGAGAACUGCAACUGAGUGAUGGGUUCUGGCUUACGGUGGUUUUAAGCCUGAUGUCCCCAAGGCCUUAUCUGCCUGCAAGCUGCUUCAUUUCAGUCACUUAAUUCAGAUUAAGGAUGGCUUUUGCAAAACCACAAUGAUCCUAGUUGAAAUAAAUACUCAAAUUCUGCACUAGCGUAAUUCCA